CCUUGCACUACCCCAUAAGAACGGACUGUAACAGUGAAGUAAAGCCAUAAGAGGGGAGAGGAAUAUCAUCUACAUCUAUACAGACCAUUGCAUUGCAUGUUGCAAGCAUUUAGCUCAACAAGUGCAAGAAGUUGCUGGGGAGAAGGAGAAAGAUGGCAAGAGUUGGUGAAAUUCUAGAGACCAUGUUUGGCUCACUUAUGAUUAUACUGCUGAUUGUCAUGGCCAUGGGAGCAAUCAAAGUUAAAGCGCAGCUUCUUCCUCAAAAUGAAGUCGAAGCUCUACAAGAAGUAGCAACCCAAUUAGGCAAGCAAGACUGGAACUUCAAAGUAGAUCCUUGCAGUAAUGAC
rnacentral:misc_RNA from 1 species